UACAGAGACCCCGAGCGUUAUCCGGCUUUAUUGGGCGUACAGCGUCUGUAGGCUGUUUUGUGUGUCGUGCGUCAAAUCUUCGGGCUCAACCCGGAGGCUGCGUGCGAAACUGCAAGACUAGAGAGUGGGAGAGGUAUAUGGAAUUACUGGUGUAGCGGUAAAAUGCGUUAAUAUCAGUAAGAACACCAAAGGCGAAGGCAAUAUACGGGAACAUUUCUGACGCUCAGAGACGAAAGCGUGGGUAGCGAAUGGG
rnacentral:rRNA from 1 species